rnacentral:rRNA from 1 species
GACGAACGCUGGCGGCGUGCUUAACACAUGCAAGUCGAACGGAAAGGCCUGCUUUCCCUUGUGGAUUGCGGGUACUCGAGUGGCGAACGGGUGAGUAACACGUGAGUGAUCUGCCCCCAACUUGGGUAUAAGCCUGGGAAACUGGGUCUAAUUCCCGAUAGGACUGCAGGGUGGUGCCUGUGGUGGAAAACGAUUUUCUAGUGGUUGGGGAUGAGCUCGCGGCCUAUCAGCUUGUUGGUGGGGUAAUGGCCUACCAAGGCGGCGACGGGUAGCCGGCCUGAGAGGGUGGACGGCCACAUUGGGACUGAGAUACGGCCCAGACUCCUACGGGAGGCAGCAGUGGGGAAUAGUGCACAAUGGGCGGAAGCCUGAUGCAGCGACGCCGCGUGGGGGAUGACGGCCUUCGGAUUGUAAACUCCUUUCGACCGCGAGGAAGCCACCUGGUUGGAAGGGUGGUGACGGUAGUGGUAGAAGAAGCACCGGCUAACUACGUG